CAAGUAAAUUGCUUUCUGUAUAAGUGUUCUCUUUUUUUUUUUGAAGUUUGCCCCAGUGUGAAAGUCUCUCUCAGAAGAUUGGUAACUAAUGGGUAAUACACAACAUUCCAAGAUAGAUUCUGGUAUCUUGAGCCAACAUAUCAGGAGAAUGGUACAGAAAAACUGAACAUUACCAGCCCCUCUACCUUAGCUAACUGCAAAAUGAACAACUUCCAAGGACUUGCUGCUACUCUCCCACAAAAUGAAAAGUCUAUGUAUCAAGAUGUAGAAUAGUACAGCUAAGCACAAGGCUCCUCCCCAGUCAAAGAGGAGCAGAGAGUGAAGAUCACUAUCAGUAAAAGCGCUGGCCUAGAGUUCCAUCACUAAACUGAUAUGUAACCCAA
rnacentral:antisense_RNA from 1 species